rnacentral:rRNA from 1 species
AGAAUGCAGACAUGAGUAGCGAUAAACAGGGUGAGAGACCCUGUCGCCGAAAGUCCAAGGUUUCCUGCGCAAGGUUAAUCCGCGCAGGGUGAGUCGGACCCUAAGGCGAGGCCGAAAGGCGUAGUCGAUGGAAAUCAGGUUAAUAUUCCUGAACCUGUUGGAAUGUGACGGAGGCCGAAAGCAGUUUUUUCCUUAUCGAAUUGGAAGGGCUGCCUGGGACUCCCGGGAAAUAGCACCAACAUAUAGACCGUACCCUAAACCGACACUGGUGGACAGGUUGAGUAUACCAAGGCGCUUGAGAGAAGGAUGUUGAAGGAACUCGGCAAAUUACUUGCGUAACUUCGGGAAAAGCAAGCCCGAUUUGCAGGCAACUGUAAAUCGGGGGCACAAAAAUGGGGGUGGCGACUGUUUAUCAAAAACACAGGGCUCUGCGAAGUCAUAGAAGACGACGUAUAGGGUCUGACGCCUGCCCGGUGCCGGAAGGUUAAAAGGAGGUGUGCAAGCACUGAAUUGAAGCCCCGGUAAACGGCGGCCGUAACAAUAACGGUCCUAAGGUAGCGAAACUCCUUGUCGGGUAAGUUCCGACCUGCAUGAAUGGCGUAACGACUUCCCCGCUGUCUCCAACAUCUACUCAGCGAAGUUGAAUUCCCCGUGAAGAUGCGGGGUUCCCGCGGCUAGACGGAAAGACCCUAUGAACCUUUACUAUAACUUUGCAGUGGCAUUAGAAGUUACAUGUGUAGCAUAGGUGGGAGACUUUGAAACCGGGACGCUAGUUCUGGUGGAGUCAAAAUAUGAAAUACCACCCUUGUGAUUUCUGAUGUCUAACCUGAUCUGUUAUCCAGAUCAGGGACCCUGCAUGGCGGGUAGUUUGACUGGGGCGGUCGCCUCCUAAAUUGUAACGGAGGCGCGCAAUGGUUGGCUCAAUCUGGUCGGAAAUCAGAUUUAGAGUGUAUUGGCAUAAGCCAGCCUGACUGCAAGACUGACAAGUCGAGCAGAGACGAAAGUCGGUCAAAGUGAUCCGGUGAUUCUGAAUGGAAGGGUCAUCGCUCAACGAAUAAAAGGUACUCUAGGGAUAACAGGCUGAUACCACCCAAGCGUCCACAGCGACGGUGGUGUUUGGCACCUCGAUGUCGGCUCAUCUCAUCCUGGGGCUGGAGCAGGUCCCAAGGGUAUGGCUGUUCGCCAUUUAAAGAGGUACGUGAGCUGGGUUCAGAACGUCGUGAGACAGUUCGGUCCCUAUCUACCGUGGGUGUUGGAAUAUUGAGAGGAUCGGUCCCUAGUACGAGAGGACCGGGAUUGACGUACCUCUGGUAGACCAGUUGUCGUGUCAACGGCAUAGCUGGGUAGCUAAGUACGGAAUAGAUAAACGCUGAAAGCAUCUAAGCGUGAAACUAACCUCAAAACAAGUAUUCCCUGAGAAUCGUCGUAGACUACGACGUUGAUAGGCCAGAUGUGUAAGGGCAGCAAUGUCUUGAGCUUACUGGUACUAAUAAUUCGAUCGGCUUGAAUCG